rnacentral:tRNA from 1 species
UCCCUGAUGUCUCAGAAGAUAAAGAAUCUGCUUGCAACGCAGGAGACCCAGGUUUGAUCCCUGAGUUGGGAA